rfam:Gossypium hirsutum cultivar TM-1 chromosome 21, whole genome shotgun sequence
UACGUCAGCGCGACCUGCUGACGUGGAAGGAAAUUGCUCCCUCAAGGACGCGAUUUCCUUCCACGUCAGCCGGUCGCGCUGACGUGG